GUCCUGAAGGAUUUACGUAAACAUUUUCUAAUCUGCACAUAUACUUUUCUGAAUUAUAUAUUUAAAUUUAAAUAUUAUUUUCUGAUGACAUGGUUCACGUGCAUUUUUUUCGAGUGUACGUCUGAUGCCUGAUGCUCACACUAAAUGCCUUUUUUUAGCUUACAAUUGAUUUCAGCAUCUUUGUUUGCUGUUUCUGGCAAGUGUUUGGCUUGAGGUAUCUUUGGGGUAUCUGCGGGCGCAGCAAAUCAAUCUGCAAACAUGCCGCCGCCAAGUGCCGACUCUGCAGACUGCGACUGCGACUGUGAUUGAGUCACGGAGUCGGAAGAGAAGAGUGAGUCUCUGGCCGGAUUUCACAGUGCAGUAUGUGGGUUGCGGUCGACGCAUCAGUUUCGGGCUGUUGUUGCAUUUUGGUGCCGUAAUAAAUACAUUUGGUAAAUUUUAAUGUCCUCCUCCCAUUUUUCAGUCAAUUUGAGCGGAACACUUGGAUUUGCCGCUGCCCUUUUUUGGGGCCACUUGCAAGUUACAGUUGCUUGGGAUUUGUGUGCGGUUUGGCAAUAAAUAUUUUGAAUCAGAAAACAUAUAAAUUUAGUGAUUUGCCGAGUCAGUGAAGUCGUCUCGCGGCGAGUAUCUUGUCUGGGACCUGCACUCUGUUGAGAAUGCACAUGCGCAUGAGAAGAGCUGCUGUAGCCGUGAUCGUGUUGCUUUAAAGGAUUCAACGUCGAACCGCAGUUCAGCAUAAAUUGUUCAUCUUCGACUGUCUGCAGCGGUUUGGACAUACCCAUUCCACCACACCUCUUUGGCCACGCGCCCCGGCCAUGCCAUAUUUAGGUCAACUCGAGUCGCGAUUCAUGCGGUAGCCAACAUUUAAAGGUUUAAUUCAAUGAAAGUUGCGUGCGUGCCUCCGACAAUGACGCCGAUGUUGGCCAUUGCAUUCACAAUGCCCAGAGAUACGGUUUUUCAUUUCUUCUGUAGGUGAAAUUAUGCAGUGCCUCAAUGCCAACUAAAUUGGCAGUAUGUGGCAGCGGCGUGAAAAUUUUUGUCCAGGCCAGAGUUCAGCAGGCCGAGCAGAGAAGCUCUUCCCCUUCUUUCUUUAGCUCCUUUCCUGGCCGGUCAUAAAUUUGAUUUUAAGCGUUGAGAAGCAGUGAAAGCGUCUACAAUUGACUGAACAGCAUUCUGAUCACAAGACGUACAGAAAGAUAUCUCUGGGGUUAUUAUAAAAUAGAAGUUAGGCUCGAUAAAUGUCAACUAAGCUAGAAAUAACUGAUUAAAACCACGUGUAUAUCAAAUGCGUAGUAAAGAAAGCUUAGUCUUCUAAGGAAAGAACCGUGAUGUUCUCGGUGAUAAUUACGAUUUUGAACCAAACUAGAAAAAAAUGUGGUGUCAGAUAUGUCAAAUUAGGUAUGUAGGUUCUCGUACAGUAAGCAAAUAUCAAGAAUAUUUCGAUUUUCGAUACCUUUACCGAUCUCCAUAGAAAAUUAUAAGUUUACAUAAUUUUGAACGGAAGAACCUAGCGCUUGCGUAGCAUUUGGGACCUGGUAAGCUUGGGAAAUAAUCCCAGAAAAUAGACAUCCAUAUGUAUGUUCUCUGAUGAAUUUUAAUAUCCGAUAGUCGCAAGCAUCGAUACUCCCAAUAGAAUUAAAUAUUUAUAUGAAGGUAUUGCAAUUUUCAGCGAAUACAUUUAAAUCUGUUGGCAGAAGCAAAAGAAGUCCGUACUUUAUUAUAUUGAGUCUAAUAUCCUUUAGGCUAACCACUCAACAAGAGUGUUUGGACGAAUGAAAUUUUCGCGCAAAGAGUGGGCGUAAACCCAGCCAACACUUGAAUGCUCGUUGUGGUGCACAAUUACGCCAUUUGCCAAAAUCAAACUAUCAACUUUGACACUCAUUAGCGUCAAAUUACAGCACGAGCAAAAGACAGGCGGGGGUGGCCAGUGGGUUGGCGGUGAGCAACGCCACAGCAGACCGCACAAAAACCUCGUAAAUUCAUAAAAGCAAUCGUAAAUUUUUAUUGUCAUGCCACUUGCCAGCCAACAGCAGCAACCGUUGCACAAUGAGGGAAAAUGCCGGCCAAGCUGAGAACUUUUCUCGAGGGAAAACUGAACACCAAGCAGACAUCGACGAUGUCGGCGACAAAAGACGACGACGCCAGUUUUCCAGUCGGUUGGCUGCUUGGACUCGAAGCUGGCUGGCAUAUUAAGCCAGCGUGCACAUAUUUCAUAACAAAAUUUAUGAAGGGCCGUUAACUUUAAGAAUCUUUUGCGCAAUUUACUCGCAAGCGGCAAUAGGAGGGAGCCUGGCCAAAAGUUGCCAAGAAGCGAACGUCGCGCUGCGCCAAAGUAACGCCAAUUUUUCGUCUAACAAUUGGCGACGACCUAAUGCCCCGUUUGGCAAUCGAACCUGAAGCUGCAGUUUGAGUCGCCAGCCAGAGCUUACACCCCCAUUGCCCUGCUCUGCCCCUACCCAGGCACUUGUAGGUACAAGUUGCAGGCACAGUAAGCUCAUGAAGUUCACAUGAAUGCCAUGAAACAAUAAAUUAUGUUAUUAAUAAAUAAUAAAUGUAAUGGGAGACUGCAAUUGCUGGCGAGAUGCAGCUACCUGUUUUUUUUCUCAUUUUUGUUCCUUGUGCAGUGAAUGGAGAGGGGCACGACGUGCUCCAUUAUUAUUAUGUGCCCGGUUAACUACUGUGUCAAAGAGCCGCCUUGGCAAAUAAACUAAAUCCAGCAACUAAAGAAGUGCCAACGA